rnacentral:rRNA from 1 species
CCUACGGGAGGCAGCAGUGAGGAAUAUUGGUCAAUGGACGAGAGCCUGAACCAGCCAAGUAGCGUGAAGGAUGACUGCCCUAUGGGUUGUAAACUUCUUUUAUAAAGGAAUAAAACGAGGCACGUGUGCCUGUUUGACUGUACUUGAUGAAUAAGGAUCGGCUAACUCCGUGCCAGCAGCCGCGGUAAUACGGAGGAUUCGAGCGUUAUCCGUAUUUAUUGGGUUUAAAGGGAGCGUAGAUGGGUUGUUAAGUCAGUUGUGAAAGUUUGCGGCUCAACCGUAAAAUUGCAAUUGAUACUGGCUGUCUUGAGUACAGUUGAGGUAGGCGGAAUUCGUGGUGUAGCGGUGAAAUGCUUAGAUAUCACGAAGAACCCCGAUUGCGAAGGCAGCUUACUAAACUGUGACUGACAUUGAUGCUCGAAAGUGUGGGUAUCAAACAGGAUUAGAUACCCGUGUAGUC